rnacentral:rRNA from 1 species
UACGAGGGGUGCAAGCGUUGCUCGGAAUUAUUGGGCGUAAAGGGUAGGUAGGUGGUCUCAUUUGUCUGGGGUGAAAGCCUUGAGCUUAACUCAAGAAGUGCCCCGGAAACGGUGAGACUGGAGUCUUGGAGAGGGUCGUGGAAUUCCCGGUGUAGCGGUGAAAUGCGUAGAGAUCGGGAGGAACACCAGAGGCGAAGGCGGCGACCUGGACAAGCACUGACACUCAACUACGAAAGCGUGGGGAGCGAACAGG